rnacentral:lncRNA from 12 species
UCAGAGGAAACUGAGUGCACAGUAAGGCUUUGCUUGUGGACAGCAGCCUCAGUGUGGCAGCAAAGUAGAGCAGUGGACACAUUUGGGCCCCCAGAAAGGACACUGGGCACUAGCCAGGGCCACAAGCCCAAGUUGACCAAUGGCUUUCACAUAAUGCCAUCUCACUCCGUCUUUACAGGGGAAUAAUAAUAUCUCCAUUUUCCGGCUGCAGUCAGAACUCCAGCACAAGGGAAGGACGGGUGUGCCAAAUAGGAGGGGGAAAGAAGGCCAAGUUGUCUGGUUCUCUUUUCCAUCUUUUGUCAUUCCCAUGCUAAGCUCUGCAGGCAGCCAGUUACCUAACACAUAUUGCUCCCCCACUGCAGGCUGGUGCUGAAAAACAGAGGAAUGAGUCAGUGUCAUUACCUUCCAGAAGUUUACGGCUGGACUUACAGUUGUCUAGCCACCAAAAUGCUGAUCACUGCUGCAAACGCAGAGGCCAUGUCUUUCCUCAUCUCCCUCCCAUCUCCUGUCCCAGUUGUUCAUCAAGGGUGCCAUCUGAUGGAGAGCCGGAAGAGCAGCGUCAUCACACCCUGAUGCAAACAACAGCUGGGGACGGCUGUGCCGGGGCCCGCGGUCACUGGGGACGGCCUCGACCCUCUCAUCUCCUAAGAAACUUGGAAGAUUUCGAAGAUGCCGUCCAGGAAUCUCCG